UACGUAGGGGGCAAGCGUUGUCCGGAAUCAUUGGGCGUAAAGCGCGUGUAGGCGGCUUGGUAAGUCUGCUCUGAAAGCCCGGGGCUCAACCCCGGGAGGCGGGUGGAUACUGUCAAGCUCGAGUACGAAAGAGGGUCGCGGAAUUCCCGGUGUAGAGGUGAAAUUCGUAGAUAUCGGGAGGAACACCGGUGGCGAAAGCGGCUUCCUGGUCCAGCACCGACGUUCAGGCACGAAAGCGUGGGGAGCAAACAGG
rnacentral:rRNA from 1 species